rnacentral:rRNA from 1 species
AUUGAACGCUGGCGGCAGGCCUAACACAUGCAAGUCGAGCGGAUGAAGGGAGCUUUCUCCUGGAUUCAGCUGCGGACGGGUGAGUAAUUCCUAGGAAUCUGCCUUGUAUUGGGGGAUAACGUCCGUAAACGGGCGCUAAUACCGCAUACGUCCUGAGGGUGAAAGGGGGGGAUCUUCGGACCUCACGCUAUCAGAUGAGCCUAGGUCGGGUUAGCUAGUUGGUGGGGUAAAGGCCUACCAAGGCGACGAUCCGUAACUGGUCUGAGAGGAUGAUCAGUCACACUGGAACUGAGACACGGUCCAGACUCCUACGGGAGGCAGCAGUGGGGAAUAUUGGACAAUGGGCGAAAGCCUGAUCCAGCCAUGCCGCGUGUGUGAAGAAGGUCUUCGGAUUGUAAAGCACUUUAAGUUGGGAGGAAGGGCAGUAAGUUAAUACCUUGCUGUUUUGACGUUACCAACAGAAUAAGCACCGGCUAACUUCGUG